rnacentral:rRNA from 1 species
AAUCAACGCUGGCGGCGUGCCUCAGACAUGCAAGUCGAACGCGAAAGUCCCCUUCGGGGGAUUAGUAGAGUGGCGUCCGGGUGAGUAACACGUAGGUAAUCUACCUUCGGGUGGGGAAUAACGCAGGGAAACUUGCGCUAAUACCGCAUAAUGCAGCGGCACCACAUGGUGACAGUUGUUAAAGCGGGGGAUUUUCGGACCUCGCGCCUGAAGAGGAGCCUGCGGCAGAUUAGCUAGUUGGUAAGGUAACGGCUUACCAAGGCGACGAUCUGUAGCCGGCCUGAGAGGGCGGUCGGCCACACUGACACUGACAUACGGGUCAGACUCCUACGGGAGGCAGCAGUCGGGAAUUUUGGGCAAUGGGCGAAAGCCUGACCCAGCAACGCCGCGUGAAGGAUGAAAUCCCUCGGGAUGUAAACUUCGCAAGAAUAGGAAGAAUGAACGAACGCUAAUACCGUUCGUGAUGACGGUACUAUUUGUAAGCUCCGGCUAACUCCGUGCCAGCAGCCGAC